GCCAGUGUAGUAUAGUGGUAAUACAUUUCUCUCGUAAAGAAGGAUCCCGUGUUCGAUUCACGGCUUUGGCA